rnacentral:rRNA from 1 species
UACGAAGGGGGCUAGCGUUGCUCGGAAUCACUGGGCGUAAAGGGUGCGUAGGCGGGUCUUUAAGUCGGGGGUGAAAUCCUGGAGCUCAACUCCAGAACUGCCUUUGAUACUGAAGAUCUUGAGUUCGGGAGAGGUGAGUGGAACUGCGAGUGUAGAGGUGAAAUUCGUAGAUAUUGGGAAGAACACCGGUGGCGAAGGCGGCUCACUGGCUCGUAACUGACGCUCAUGCACGACAGCGUGGGGAUCAAACAGG